rnacentral:rRNA from 1 species
AUGGAGCUCGCAUCGGGCUCCAGCGGUGGCAGCGACAGUGACUUCUUUGUGGUGGUGAUAGGGUCCGACUUUGAAGUGGACGCCGGCGUGGCGCUUCUCGCCUCCCCCGCCAACCGUGAGGAGUGGCACGACUGUGUUCCGAACCUCGGCAUUGACUUCGCCGACCUCGGGGAGCUCCAGGUCGUCCACAUGCAGGGCACGGACAGAUCCGGCCGGGCGGUCGUCCGGGUCGUCGGCAAGGUUUUGGUGGUGACGAUGACAGUCGUCGAGAGGUUCGUGGACUGGACGGUGUCGUGGCUGCCGGGUUUCAAAGUGCAGGGAGCAAGGCACGUGUACGAUGGCUUCCUCCAUUGA